rnacentral:lncRNA from 1 species
UCAGAGAGUCAUUUGAUUAAAGAUCCGAUGGUACAAAUCAAUUAUUUUAAAUUACACUCUACAACUGCAAUUACAGCGGCCGCCACAAUAUUCCUGAUGCGGUAGCCUCUGGAACCGCAAUUGCAGAGUGAAUUAAAAUCAUGCGUCCGACUACCAUUACAAAUCACAUCAGCCGCAAUAUUGUUGAUUCGGUAGCCUCCGCAACCGCAAUUGCGGUGUGAAUUAAAAUCAUGCGUCCAACUACUAUUACAAAUCACAUUAGACAAUUUCACUUAUGUUUCUUUACGUAUUUUCAUUAAAACUUCAAUUUCAAAUCUCAAAUCCAAAAACUCAAUUUCCUUCCUUUAUAAAAAUCUUAACAUUUGUGUUUCUUAACGGACACCUCCCAGUUCCAG